AGUUGGAAGAGGAGGAAGUACUUAGAAAAUGUCACUGUUUUCUUCCUGUGGGAGUUUCUACAGACUUUCAUUCUGAACAGACCAGCAUAUGAAGGGUGUAGGAACACAAAAUCAUCUGCAUAUAACAGAACCUGCAAUGAAAUCAAUCAUCAGCGUGAGAUAAAACAACAAAUUACAUUCAUCCUAAGCUUAAGAAAAGACCAUGAUCAUCAUCUUCUGCUUACUGACCAAUGUUGUUCCAGCUUUAGGAGCUUCUCUCAGCGAUCAGGUCCAUCAGACUCCGGCUGAUAUGUUCUACAAACCAGGAGAGGCUGCCGUUAUCAACUGUUCACACACCAUUGAUAGCUACGAUCGGAUCCUCUGGUACAAACACUCAAACGGCAACCAGAUGCAGUUCCUGGGAUACAUGAACAUAAAAUUUGGAACUCCAGAGCCGGGAGUCAAAGUGAAAAUCAAUGGCAGCGCAAACAAAAACGAUCUCUGCACUCUGACGGUGGAGGAUCUGAGCGUGAGCAGCAGCGCCGUUUAUUUCUGCGCCGCUAGAUACCACAGUGCUUCAUAUUAAUGCUCCCCAGCACAAAAACC